GAUGAACGCUGGCGGCGUGCUUAACACAUGCAAGUCGAACGAUGAAGCCCAGCUUGCUGGGUGGAUUAGUGGCGAACGGGUGAGUAACACGUGAGUAACCUGCCCUUAACUCUGGGAUAAGCCUGGGAAACUAGGUCUAAUACCGGAUAGGAGCGCCUACCGCAUGGUGGGUGUUGGAAAGAUUUAUCGGUUUUGGAUGGACUCGCGGCCUAUCAGCUUGUUGGUGAGGUAAUGGCUCACCAAGGCGACGACGGGUAGCCGGCCUGAGGGGGUGACCGGCCACACUGGGACUGAGACACGGCCCAGACUCCUACGGGAGGCAGCAGUGGGGAAUAUUGCACAAUGGGCGCAAGCCUGAUGCAGCGACGCCGCGUGAGGGAUGACGGCCUUCGGGUUGUAAACCUCUUUCAGUAGGGAAGAAGCGAAAGUGACGGUACCUGCAGAAGAAGCACCGGCUAACUACGUG
rnacentral:rRNA from 1 species